rnacentral:lncRNA from 1 species
GCAGGAGGGUGGGUGACUUCCUCUAGAGUCUGCAGGAGGAGUCCCCAGACGGUCGCUGUACACUGCACAAUGGCCCGGCCAGCUCAACAGAAAGUUACAGUGUGGUGCCGGAAGUCUGAGUAACAGACACUGGAGGACUGCAGAAUGGCUGUUGGGGUUCCCUGGACACACUCUUCUCACCCUCACCCCGGUCCUACUGAGGUCCUGCACUACCCCUCUGCCCCUGUCUCUGCUUUGCAAACUCCUCUUUGUCUUUAAAACCUCAGGUCCCCUUGGAGACUCUGUGUUCUAUGCCUUCUGCAGUCACCUUGGCCGUAGCCUUCAAUGACAAGUGUCCCUCUUACUGCUGUGGACCCCUCCUGCUCGGGACUUGCUGACUGCCCAUCAGCCUGAGAAGUCCACAGUGCCUUUGCCGAGUGUCCGG